GGUAUUCCUUAUCUGUGUCUAAUACGUUGAAUUGUCUGGAGCCUGUCUCUUUGCAUUCUGUCGUUCAGAACACACAGAGACAGGCUCGUCGUUUAUACCCUUUAGCCCUGGUG
rnacentral:sRNA from 1 species